rnacentral:rRNA from 1 species
UACGAAGGGGGCUAGCGUUGUUCGGAAUUACUGGGCGUAAAGCGCGCGUAGGCGGAUAUUUAAGUCAGGGGUGAAGUCCCGGGGCUCAACCCUGGAACUGCCUUUGAUACUGGAUAUCUGGAGUUCGGGAGAGGUGAGUGGAAUUCCGAGUGUAGAGGUGAAAUUCGUAGAUAUUCGGAGGAACACCAAUGGCGAAGGCAAUCUCCUGGACCUGCACUGACGCUCAUGCACGAAAGCGUGGGGAGCAAACAGG